UGACUUCUUCCAACUGGUUACCCU
rnacentral:siRNA from 1 species